UACGUAGGGGGCUAGCGUUGUCCGGAAUCAUUGGGCGUAAAGCGCGUGUAGGCGGUCCGGUAAGUCCGCUGUGAAAGUCGAGGGCUCAACCUCGAAUGCCGGUGGAUACUGUCGGGCUUGAGUACGGGAGAGGCGAGUGGAAUUCCUGGUGUAGCGGUGAAAUGCGCAGAUAUCAGGAGGAACACCAAUGGCGAAGGCAGCUCGCUGGGACGGUACUGACGCUGAGGCGCGAAAGCUAGGGGAGCAAACGGG
rnacentral:rRNA from 1 species